CCUACGGGAGGCAGCAGUGAGGAAUAUUGGACAAUGGGCGAGAGCCUGAACCAGCCAAGUCGCGUGAGGGAGGACUGCCCUAUGGGUGGUAAACCUCUUUGGUCGGGGAGCAAAAGCCGGACGUGUCCGGCUGUGAGAGUACCCGAAGAAAAAGCAACGGCUAACGCGGUGACAGCAGCAGCGGUAAUACGGAGGAGGCGAGCGUUACCCGGAUUUAUUGGGUUAAAAGGGUGCGCAGGCGGAUUUUUAAGUCAGCGGUCAAAUCGUGGGGCUCACCCCCAUCCCGCCGUUGAAACUGGGGAUCUAGAGUGUGCGAGAGGUAUGCGGAAUGCGUGGUGUAGCGGUGAAAUGCAUAGAUAUCACGCAGAACCCCGAUUGCGAAGGCAGCAUACCGGUGCACAACUGACGCUCAGGCACGAAAGCGUGGGUAUCGAACAGGAUUAGAUACCCUAGUAGUC
rnacentral:rRNA from 1 species